CAGUCGCCACGGGAAUACGAAGGGUGCAAGCGUUAAUCGGAAUUACUGGGCGUAAAGCGUGUGUAGGUGGUUGUUUAAGUCUGUCGUGAAAGCCCUGGGCUCAACCUGGGAAUUGCGAUGGAUACUGGGCGACUAGAGUGCGGUAGAGGAUAGUGGAAUUUCCGGUGUAGCAGUGAAAUGCGUAGAGAUCGGAAGGAACAUCUGUGGCGAAGGCGACUAUCUGGGCCAACACUGACACUGAGACACGAAAGCGUGGGGAGCAAACAGGAUUAGAGACCCCUGUAGUCCCUGUCUCUUAUAC
rnacentral:rRNA from 1 species